GGUAGGAUAGAGGCCUACCAUGGUGGUAACGGGUAACGGGGUGUUAGGGCACGACACCGGAGAGGGAGCCUGAGAAACGGCUACCACAUCCAAGGAUGGCAGCAGGCGCGCAAAUUACCCAAUCCCGACACGGGGAGGUAGUGACAAUAAAUAACAAUACGGGGUUCUUUCGGAUUUCGUAAUUGGAAUGAGUACAAUUUAAAUCUCUUAACGAGGAACAAUUGGAGGGCAAGUCUGGUGCCAGCAGCCGCGGUAAUUCCAGCUCCAAUAGCGUAUAUUAAAGUUGCUGCAGUUAAAAAGCUCGUAGUUGAAUUUCGGGACCAAUAUGUCGGUCGUGCCUCGGUACGUACUGGCAUCGUUGGUUUCUCCCUUCUGACGAACCAUGAUGUCAUUCAUUUGGUGUCGUGGGGAAUCAGGACUGUUACUUUGAAAAAAUUAGAGUGUUUAAAGCAGGCUCACGCUUGAAUACAUUAGCAUGGAAUAAUGAAAUAGGACGUUUGAUUCUAUUUUGUUGGUUUCUAGGAUCGACGUAAUGAUUAAUAGGGAUAGUUGGGGGCAUUAGUAUUCAAUUGUCAGAGGUGAAAUUCUUGGAUUUAUUGAAGACUAACUACUGCGAAAGCAUUUGCCAAGGAUGUUUUCAUUAAUCAAGAACGAAAGUUAGGGGAUCGAAGACGAUCAGAUACCGUCGUAGUCUUAACCAUAAACUAUGCCGACUAGGGAUCGGAUGAUGUUAAUUUUUUAAUGACUCAUUCGGCGCCUUACGGGAAACCAAAGUGUUUGGGUUC
rnacentral:rRNA from 1 species